rnacentral:rRNA from 1 species
CAAAAUGCACAGGCUGUGAACUCGAAGAGUAGGGCGGGACACGUGGUAUCCUGUCUGAAUAUGGGGGGACCAUCCUCCAAGGCUAAAUACUCCUGACUGACCGAUAGUGAACCAGUACCGUGAGGGAAAGGCGAAAAGAACCCCGGCGAGGGGAGUGAAAAAGAACCUGAAACCGUGUACGUACAAGCAGUGGGAGCACCUUCGGGUGUGACUGCGUACCUUUUGUAUAAUGGGUCAGCGACUUAUAUUCUGUAGCAAGGUUAACCGUAUAGGGGAGCCGCAGGGAAACCGAGUCUUAACUGGGCGUUAAGUUGCAGGGUAUAGACCCGAAACCCGGUGAUCUAGCCAUGGGCAGGUUGAAGGUUGGGUAACACUAACUGGAGGACCGAACCGACUAAUGUUGAAAAAUUAGCGGAUGACUUGUGGCUGGGGGUGAAAGGCCAAUCAAACCGGGAGAUAGCUGGUUCUCCCCGAAAGCUAUUUAGGUAGCGCCUCGUGAAUUCAUCUUCGGGGGUAGAGCACUGUUUCGGCUAGGGGGUCAUCCCGACUUACCAACCCGAUGCAAACUACGAAUACCGAAGAAUGUUAUCACGGGAGACACACGGCGGGUGCUAACGUCCGUCGUGAAGAGGGAAACAACCCAGACCGCCAGCUAAGGUCCCAAAGUCAUGGUUAAGUGGGAAACGAUGUGGGAAGGCACAGACAGCCAGGAUGUUGGCUUAGAAGCAGCCAUCAUUUAAAGAAAGCGUAAUAGCUCACUGGUCGAGUCGGCCUGCGCGGAAGAUGUAACGGGGCUAAACCAUG